rnacentral:rRNA from 1 species
CCUACGGGGGGCAGCAGUCGAGAAUCAUUCACAAUGGGGGAAACCCUGAUGGUGCGACGCCGCGUGGGGGAAUGAAGGUCUUCGGAUUGUAAACCCCUGUCAUGUGGGAGCAAAUUAAAAAGUUAGUACCACAAGAGGAAGAGACGGCUAACUCUGUGCCAGCAGCCGCGGUAAUACAGAGGUCUCAAGCGUUGUUCGGAAUCACUGGGCGUAAAGCGUGCGUAGGCUGUUUCGUAAGUCGUGUGUGAAAGGCGCGGGCCCAACCCGCGGACGGCACAUGAUACUGCGAGACUAGAGUAAUGGAGGGGGAGCCGGAAUUCUCGGUGUAGCAGUGAAAUGCGUAGAUAUCGAGAGGAACACUCGUGGCGAAGGCGGGUUCCUGGACAUUAACUGACGCUGAGGCACGAAGGCCAGGGGAGCGAAAGGGAUUAGAUACCCCUGUAGUC